AUUAUAAAAAGACCUGCUAGAUAAACUCCAUAGUAAUGCCUUUUGGUCUCACAAAGCCCCAGCAACAUCUCAUGUUCUCAUGAAUAAGGUGUUGGCUCCUAUCUUGAGAAAAGAUAUGCUAGUAUCUUUUGAUGACAUUCUAAGACCAUAGAAGAACAUGUGAUACAUGCAUUUUGGACAUUUUAAGGUCUAACUAGGGUUUUUUUUUUUGCAUAAUCAAGUAAAUGUGUGUUCAGUCAACAGCAAGUAGAAUACCGGGGCUACAUUAUUAGCUAUUAAUCGAAGCUGUAUAACUUUGACCAGAACUCACUAAUGUCACUCAGUUGAGAGGCUUUCUGGUUUAGUUGGCUAUUAUAGAAGAUUUAUCAAAGUUAUGGAGUGAUCUAAUUGCAUAUCUACCAUCGCAAAAGAUUGGAUUCGCGAAUGCGAGCAUCAGGUGGCGGCGGUGGCGAUUCCUGUACUAGGCAACAAAACGAGCGGCAAGCGUAGGCGGCAGUUCCUCUUGGGGGCAGACAGAAGGCAACCAGAGGGAAAGUUUGCUACAUGGAACUCCUCUAUUUGUUGCUGACAAUUUGAUUCGUAUGAUUGUAUCAUCCGGCUGGAUCGAUUUUUUUCUGUCAUCCCUCCUGAGAUUGAUUCCUCUUUCGCCGGAAUCAAUUUCCGUUGAUUCAUGCCAUGUAAUUUGCAUUCAUCACUGCUAAUUGGGACGAUGACAAAGGAGAUUAAUCUUGGAUGAUUUUGCUAUUUUUUUUAAUUGCUGGUGCCCAUGACGUGCAGUUGUUGCCGUCCACCGAUCGUUGCCGUCGAGCAUCUUCGGCGCAUGAAGGAGGAAGAAGAGGAGCCAGGGUAUUCUUGCGAAGUCGUUUUGGUUGAGUGUGGUAUUUUCUGAAGCAUACUUAAGUUAUGGUACCGUAGCGAAUCUUUCUUUUUCGAUGGUAGAAAUAUAAUUUUUUGAUUGUGAGAAAACAGAAGCAAUGUCUGAACGUAGUUUCACAGUUAGCCGUGCUCCUCCCAACAAGCUAUUUCAGAUUUCUUGUUUCCUGACAGCAUUCCGAAAUGAGAAGGGGAAUCAUUUCAACAUUUGUUCUUGUUUUGCAGAAACAGAGGUGCAGAGUGGGAGGUGCUGCAAUAAUAUAAUGCACACCCCAAAUUAAGGAGAAACUAAAUCACGAUCACACACGUCAAUGGUCCAACCUUUUCACUAUCAACAAGAGUCCACAUUUCACCAUUCAUUAUCAUCACAGUGCUUUCGCUCAAAAAAUUAACACGGUCCAAAAUAAGCAUCCGCAGUGCACGGUACAGAAGUACAAACUGGGUUUAGAUCCUAUUUAAGAGAGUUUCUAGCUGCUGCAGCUUCUUUCACAGUCAUAAAUUUCUCUAAACAGUUCGGUUUUUAGUUCAGAUUCUAAAAAGCUAAACAAGUGACAAUCACCUCUAGCUUACCUUAAUUAGUUCGGACUUAAUUUAGAGCACAUGAUAAUGCCCACACAUUCACUAAUAUUACUAAUUAAGAAUUCAUUUGCUAUUUUUAUUACGAGUAAAUUGCAUUAACGGUACAUAAACUUGUCAGGUGCGUGUAAUUUAGUGUAUGAAUUUGUAAAAUGCUUAUUUUGGUGCAUGAACUUGUUUGGUACGUGCAAACUAAGACUAAAAUGGCACGAUAAGAUUGAUUUUUCUAUGUUGACCAUUAUAAAUUACAAAUUAGUAGAUGACUAACGUGUACGUAGUAGAAAUGUUAUAUUUGUAAACUUAGAUACCAUUUUAUCUUUCUUUAUUUCUAUCCCUUGCAUUAUUACUCGGUUUUUUUAUGCAAUCAUUAUGUCUUAUUAUAUAUUUAUCCUUCUUAGACUAAUGUUUACACAGAGUUUAAAUCAACAACAGAAUCAGCAAAAUUAACCUUAUAGUGCGAUGUUGACCUUGUUCGCACGCACCAAGUUCAUGCACCAAAACGAGCGUUUUACAAGUUCAUGUACUAGAUUACACCCACCUGACAAAUUCAUGUACCGCCGAUGCAAUUUACUCAUUACCAUAGGAAGUUAGUGUAACACAUCUAUGGAAGGGAAGCACCGACCAUGAAGUGACCUCCAAUUAUCAAGGUGAGGCAUAGCCCUGAUGAUGCUCACCUGCUUGGGUGCAAUGCAAGUUGCGCGCGCAGAGGCUACCUCAACCCAGGUUCACAAUCCCGAUACUAGAUCAAAAUCCGCUCACGACCAGUAUC
rnacentral:sRNA from 1 species